rnacentral:rRNA from 1 species
ACGCGCUUUGGUGAAUCAGAAUAACUUUGCGAAUCGCGCGCCUUGCGCGUGCGAUGGAUCGAAUGAAUUUCUGCCCUAUCAACUUUGAUGGUAGGAUCGAGGCCUACCAUGGUGGCGACGGGUAACGGAGAAUUAGGGUUUGAUUCCGGAGAGGGAGCCUGCGAAAUGGCUACCACAUCCAAGGACGGCAGCAGGCGCGCAAAUUACGCGAGGUCAAUUCGACGACGUAGUGACGGGACAUAGUACGUUUGAGCACUUUGUGUUCAGACAGUGCAAUGGAUUGGCGUUAGAUCGGCAGUGAGUAUCGAUUGGAGGACAAGUCUGGUGCCAGCACCCGCGGUAAUUCCAGCUCCAAUAGCGUAUAUUAAGAUUGUUGUGGUUAUAACGCUCGUAGUCGCCCUUUACGUGAUCGCGCGGAUCGAGAGCGCAAGCUUUCGGGUUCGCGCGGUUGCGAAUUCAGCGGAAGCGCUCGUACGGCUUAAAACCCGUGCGGGACGCGUCCGCCCGUUACUGUGAAAAAAUUGGAGUGUUCAUGGCAAGCGUCCGCUUGCACAGUGCAGCAUGGAAUAACGUAAAAGCGCCAGCGCGCGUUCGUAGGUCAACGCUUAGCGCGGGCGCGUUCGCAUGGGAUCGAGCGGGGCUAGGUGUACUCCGGUGCUAGAGGUGAAAUUCUUGGAUUACCGGAUGACACGCCGAAGCGAAGGCGCCUAGCAAAUGCGUUUCCGUCGAUCAAGGACGAUAGCCAGGGGAUCGAAGAUGAUUAGAUACCAUCGUAGUCCUGCAUGCUGUAAACUUCUGUGAUUGGGCUGCAAGCGACGCUCGCUUUGAACGACGUUUGCGGCCGUGCGAAAGCUCUGAAAUGCACUCCAGGGGGUGUAUGGUCGCAAGACUGAAACUUAAAGGAAUUGACGGAGAGAUACACCAGGCGUGGAUUCUGCGGCUUAAUCUGACCCAACACGGAGAAUCUCACAAGGGUAAGAGGAAACAAGGACUGACAGAUUGAAAGCUCUUUCAGAUGAUGUUUCCAGAGGUGGUGCAUGGCCGUUCGUAGUUGGUGGAGUGAUUCGUCUGAUUAAUUUCGAUAACGGGCGGGACGCGCACGCUUUAUUCGUCGCCGGCUAAUGCGAAUUAGUCGGAUACGUUUGAGCGGACCGCGAGCGAUAAGCUCGAGAAAGGUGCGCGCAAUAACAGGUCUGUGAUGCCCUUAGAAAUUCUUGGCCGCACGCGCAAUACAAUGGUUUGGGCAGAAGGUUGCAUGCUUAAGCGAGCGUGCAAAUCGAAAAUCCAAACCGUGAUCGGGACUGUUCUUUGUAAUUAUAGAGCACAAACGAGGAAUGUCUAGUAAGUCCGGCUCAUCAAGUCGGGCUGACUGCGUCCCUGUCUCUUGUACACACCGCCCGUCGCUUCUACCGAUUGAACUGUCGUGAUGAAGUUUUUGGAUUCGUUCUCUCGUGCGCAAGUGCGUGAGAACGGAAAAGCUCACUAAAUCCGACAGUUUAGAGGAAGAAGAAGUCGUAACAAGGUC